AUACUUACCUGGCAGGGGAGACACCUUGAUCACAAAGGAGGUUUUCCCAGGGUGAGGCUCAUCCAUUGCACUCCGGGUGUGCUGACCCCUGUGAUUUCCCCAAAUGCGGGAAACUCAACUUUGUGAAUUAUCAAAAUGCUCCCUUUGCUUAUUAGCUAGU